UGGGGAAUAUUGAAUAAUGGGCGCAAGCCUGAUGCAGCCAUGCCGCGUGUGUGAAGAAGGCCUUCGGGUUGUAAAGCACUUUCAGCGAGGAGGAAGGGUAGUGUGUUAAUAGCACAUUGCAUUGACGUUACUCGCAGAAGAAGCACCGGCUAACUCCGUGCCAGCAGCCGCGGUAAUACGGAGGGUGCAAGCGUUAAUCGGAAUUACUGGGCGUAAAGCGCACGCAGGAGGUUUGUUAAGUCAGAUGUGAAAUCCCCGCGCUUAACGUGGGAACUGCAUUUGAAACUGGCAAGCUAGAGUCUUGUAGAGGGGGGUAGAAUUCCAGGUGUAGCGGUGAAAUGCGUAGAGAUCUGGAGGAAUACCGGUGGCGAAGGCGGCCCCCUGGACAAAGACUGACGCUCAGGUGCGAAAGCGUGGGGAGCAAACA
rnacentral:rRNA from 1 species